rnacentral:tRNA from 1 species
CGGGAUGUAGCGCAGGUGGUAGCGCGCGUGGUUCGGGACCACGAGGCCGCAGGUUCGAAUCCUGUCAUUCCGA